CAAACCCUCGGCCUGGAAGAUCCUUCAUUUGUUGGGUAACAAGAUUGUACAUGUAUAGAUGGUCGCAAGAAAGAAAGAAAAGGAAAUUUUCGUUCCCCAAAAGCACAAUAUGUUCGGCACUUAAGGGGCCAACGUUAUACUUCCCUCUGAUUGCAUGUUUAGCUUCGUCUCCGACCCCUUACCACUCCAAACGCGGUUAGUAUCUCCUCGAUCAGGCCAGCACCUUCCCCAGCAUACAUUGUCCUGCUUUUAAGUUGUUCUUUUAAGUGUAUUUCUGUCUCCUGAUGAGGAAGAACGAUCGAAUGAAGGAUCAAGACACUGAUGUAAGUUUUAUUCAC
rnacentral:lncRNA from 1 species